rnacentral:rRNA from 1 species
UACGGAGGAUCCGAGCGUUUAUCCGGAUUUAUUGGGUUUAAAGGGUGCGUAGGCGGCCUAUUAAGUCAGGGGUGAAAGACGGUAGCUUAACUAUCGCAGUGCCUUUGAUACUGAUGGGCUUGAAUGUAGUUGAGGUAGGCGGAAUGUGACAAGUAGCGGUGAAAUGCAUAGAUAUGUCACAGAACACCAAUUGCGAAGGCAGCUUACUAAAAGUAUGAUUGACGCUGAGGCACGAAAAGCGUGGGGAUCAAACAGG